rnacentral:rRNA from 1 species
AGUGAACGCUGGCGGUAGGCCUAACACAUGCAAGUCGAACGGCAGCACAGUAAGAGCUUGCUCUUACGGGUGGCGAGUGGCGGACGGGUGAGGAAUACAUCGGAAUCUACUUUUUCGUGGGGGAUAACGUAGGGAAACUUACGCUAAUACCGCAUACGACCUACGGGUGAAAGCAGGGGAUCUUCGGACCUUGCGCGAUUCAAUGAGCCGAUGUCGGAUUAGCUAGUUGGCGGGGUAAAGGCCCACCAAGGCGACGAUCCGUAGCUGGUCUGAGAGGAUGAUCAGCCACACUGGAACUGAGACACGGUCCAGACUCCUACGGGAGGCAGCAGUGGGGAAUAUUGGACAAUGGGCGCAAGCCUGAUCCAGCCAUACCGCGUGGGUGAAGAAGGCCUUCGGGUUGUAAAGCCCUUUUGUUGGGAAAGAAAAGCAGCAGGUUAAUACCCCGCUGUUCCGACGGUACCCAAAGAAUAAGCACCGGCUAACUUCGUG